rnacentral:rRNA from 1 species
UACGAAGGGUGCAAGCGUUACUCGGAAUUACUGGGCGUAAAGCGUGCGUAGGUGGUUUGUUAAGUCUGAUGUGAAAGCCCUGGGCUCAACCUGGGAAUGGCAUUGGAUACUGGCAGGCUAGAGUGCGGUAGAGGGUAGUGGAAUUCCCGGUGUAGCAGUGAAAUGCGUAGAGAUCGGGAGGAACAUCUGUGGCGAAGGCGACUACCUGGACCAGCACUGACACUGAGGCACGAAAGCGUGGGGAGCAAACAGGAUUAGAAACCCCAGUAGUCC